rnacentral:rRNA from 1 species
GACGAACCGUGCGAACGUUAUUCGGAAUCACUGGGCUUAAAGCGCGUGUAGGCGGGUCGGUGCGUCGGCCGCUGAAAUCCCCCGGCUCAACCGGGGAAGGGGCGCCGAUACGACCGGCCUGGAGCGACGUAGGGGGGACUGGAACUUCCGGUGGAGCGGUGAAAUGCGUUGAGAUCGGAAGGAACGCCCGUGGCGAAAGCGAGUCCCUGGACGUCGGCUGACGCUGAGACGCGAAAGCCAGGGGGAGCGAACGGG